rnacentral:rRNA from 1 species
GAGUAAGUUACUAAAAGAUAAGAGUGAAUGCCUAGACUCUUGUAUCCGAUGAAGGACGUGGCAGGCUGCGAAAAGCCUCGGUGAGCGAGCCAAGCACGCUUUGAGCCGGGGAUGUCCGAAUGCGGAAACGCACCAUGAGUAAUGUCAUGGUAUCUUAUACUUUAAGUAUAAGAGGGUUACACGGUGAACUGAAACAUCUAAGUAGCCGUGGAAAAGAAAUCAACUGAGAUUCCCAGAGUAGUGGCGAGCGAAAUGGGAAUAGGCCAAACCGAGCCUCCGGGCUCGGGGUUGUAGGACUCCAUUUAAGAUUCUGCGUACAUAGCCGAAGGAACCUGGAAAGGACCGCCAAAGAGGGUAAUGGCCCCGUAGGCGAAAUGUACAAAGACUGAGGAGUAUCCUGAGUAGGGUCGGACACGAGAAAUCCGGCUUGAAACUGGGAGGACCACCUUCCAAGCCUAAACAGUACAAGAGAUCGAUAGCGAACAAGUACCGCGAGGGAAAGGUGAAAAGCACCCCGAAAGGGGGAUGAAAUAGUAUCUGAAACUCUUAUCUUAUAAAGAGUCACGGUCUUGCUUCGGCAGGAUUGUGGCGUGCUUUUUGUAGAACGAGCCACCGAGUUAGCUGUAUGAGGCGUUUUAGGUUAAGCCAGAACAGGCGAAGCCAUAGCGAAAGCGAGUGUUAAUAGCGCGUUAGUCUCAUGCACUAGACCCGAAACGGGGUGAGCUACUCAUGGUCAGGUUGAACCCGCCUUAACCGGUGGGGAAGGACCGAACACACGGAUGUUGCAAGAUCCGGUGAUGAACUGUGAGUAGUGGUGAAAUUCCUAUCGAACCCCGAGAUAGCUGGUUCUCCUCGAAAUAGCUUUAGGGCUAGCCUCGAGUUUUUUACUCUAUGGGGGUAGAGCUCUUUUUCGGCUAGGGGGUGCAAUACACCUACCAACCCAAGAAAAACUUCGAAUACCAUAGACGUCAACUCGGGAGUCAGACUGCGACAGCGAAGUGCCGUAAGUCCUAAGGGGAACAGCCCAGAUCGUCAGCUAAGGUCCCUAAUACAAGUUCAGUGGUAAAGGAUGUGAGAUGUCACAGACAGCCAGGAGGUUGGCUUAGAAGCAGCCAUCCUUUAAAGAAAGCGUAACAGCUCACUGGUCGAUGUUGUCUCGCGCCGAAAAUAUAACGGGGCUUAAACUUGUAACCGAAGCUACGGGCUUACCGUUUCUCACUGUGUUCGAAACCAGUUCGAACUUAGCGAGAAACGGUGAGCGGUAGAGGAGCGUUCCCAUCAGCGCUGAAGUCGAAUCGUAAGAUUCGGUGGAGCGGUGGGAAGUGAGAAUGGUGGCAUAAGUAACUUAAAUCAGAUGAAAACUCUGAUCACCGAAAGCCCAAGGUUUCCCAAGCAACGUUGAUCGACUUGGGGUUAGUCGGGCCUAAGUUCUAGGCCGAAAGGCCGGAUCGAUGGACAAUAGGUUAAUAUUCCUAUACAACUUAUACUUCGACCAAGCAAAGGGGGAUGAUUCUUUCCGGUUGUUGUUACACUUCGGUGUAAUUUCAGCUGGCGAGUUUCUGAACUUGGCGCUAGUUCGGGAGUGACGCGGAAGGAGUUCUGGAGCGUGUGUAAUGAAUGCACGUGCAAGCGUUUAGCUUAAGGUCUCAUAGGCAAAUCCGUGAGAUUUCGCGAGGCGUGAUGCAAAUAGGUCCACCUCGGUGGAUCGAUUCUAGACGCUUCAUCCGCCAAGAAAACCUUCAGGACGAGAAGUAUAGGUUUCCGUACCGCAAACCAACUCCGGUGGGCAGGUUGAGAAUACUAAGGUGCUCGGGUGAUACACUCUUAAGGAACUCGGCAAUACAGCAGGUGUAACUUCGGGAUAAACCUUGCUUGGAAAUUCUUGCUUCAUUCGUGAUGCAAGGGUGGAAAAGCCGCAGCGAAAGAUUCCAGGCGACUGUUUACCAAAAACACAGCUUUCUGCUAAACCGCAAGGUGAUGUAUAGAAGGCGACGCUUGCCCAGUGCCAGAAGGUCACGAGGAGAGGUUCACGCUUCGAAUCUAAGCCCUGGUGAACGGCGGCCGUAACUAUAACGGUCCUAAGGUAGCGAAAUUCCUUGUCAGGUAAGUUCUGACCCGCACGAAUAGCGUAACGGUCUGGAAACUGUCUCGAGAGUGUGCCCGGUGAAAUUGCAGAACUGGUAAAAAUGCCAGUUAGUCAUGGAAGGACGAAAAGACCCUAUGCAGCUUUACUAUAGCUUGGCAUUGAUUCGAGGUAUGUGUUGCGCAGGAUAGGUGGGAGGCUUUGAAGCCUUGGCUUUGGCCGAGGUGGAGCCACCCUUGAGAUACCACCCUGCACAUACUUUGACUCUAACCUGAGGUAAAAACUCGGGGACAGUGUUUGGUGGGUAGUUUAACUGGGGCGGUUUUCUCCUAAAGAGUAACGGAGAAGCGCAAAGGUUCCCUUAGCCUGGAUGGAAAUCAGGCUGGACGUGUAUUCGCACAAGGGAGCUUAACUGCAAGACCAACAAGUCGAGCAGAUGCGAAAGCAGGCGAAAGUGAUCCGGUACCUCAACGUGGGUUGGGUAUCGCUCAACGGAUAAAAGUUACGCUAGGGAUNNNNNNNNNNNNNNNNNNNNNNNNNNNNNNNNNNNNNNNNNNNNNNNNNNNNNNNNNNNNNNNNNNNNNNNNNNNNNNNNNNNACGCGAGCUGGGUUCAGAACGUCGUGAGACAGUUUGGCCUCUAUCCUCCAUGACCGUAAGAUAUUUAAGGGAAGUUGCUCCUAGUACGAGAGGACCGGAGUGAACGAACCUCUAGUGCAUCUGUUGUCGCGUCAGCGGCAUGGCAGAGUAGCUAUGUUCGGACAGGAUAACCGCUGAAAGCAUCUAAGUGGGAAGCCUCUCCCAAGAUAAGAUAUCUCCAUUAGUCUGCCCGAAGAACACGGGCUUGAUAGGCCACAGGUAGAAGUCCAGCGAUGGAUGCAGCCGAGUGGUACUAACAGACGAUUGACUUCUU